GACGAACGCUGGCGGCGUGCUUAACACAUGCAAAUCGAACGGAAAGGCCCUGCUUUUGUGGGGUGCUCGAGUGGCGAACGGGUGAGUAACACGUGAGUAACCUGCCCUUGACUUUGGGAUAACUUCAGGAAACUGGGGCUAAUACCGGAUAGGAGCUCCUGCUGCAUGGUGGGGGUUGGAAAGUUUCGGCGGUUGGGGAUGGACUCGCGGCUUAUCGGCUUGUUGGUGGGGUAGUGGCUUACCAAGGCUUUGACGGGUAGCCGGCCUGAGAGGGUGACCGGCCACAUUGGGACUGAGAUACGGCCCAGACUCCUACGGGAGGCAGCAGUGGGGAAUAUUGCACAAUGGGCGGAAGCCUGAUGCAGCAACGCCGCGUGCGGGAUGACGGCCUUCGGGUUGUAAACCGCUUUCGCCUGUGACGAAGCGUGAGUGACGGUAAUGGGUAAAGAAGCACCGGCUAACUACGUG
rnacentral:rRNA from 1 species